rnacentral:rRNA from 1 species
CAUUAUUGAAUUGUCAACACGAGCUGUUGCUGGCCUUCAAACGGGGGCAUGUGCACGCUCUGUUUUCAUCCACUCACACCUGUGCACCCUCUGUAGUUCUAUGGUUUGGGAGACCCCGUCUUCCUUCUGUGGUUCUGCGUCUUUACACACACACUGUAACAUGGUCUUAUGGAAUGUAAGCAGCGUUUAACGCAAUACAAUACAACUUUCAGCAACGGAUCUCUUGGCUCUCGCAUCGAUGAAGAACGCAGCGAAAUGCGAUAAGUAAUGUGAAUUGCAGAAUUCAGUGAAUCAUCGAAUCUUUGAACGCACCUUGCGCCCUUUGGCUAUUCCGAAGGGCAUGCCUGUUUGAGUAUCGUGAACACCUCAACUCUCACGGUUCGCCGUGAUGAGCUUGGACUUUGGAGGUUUUGCUGGCCCAAGGUCUGCUCCUCUCAAAUGAAUUAGCUUACCAGUGUAUGGUGGCGCCACAGGUGUGAUAAUUAUCUGCGCUUGYGGUAAUACGCCAGAUAACCUUCAGAGAUGGAGGUUUGCUGGGGCUCAUAAAURUCUCUCCUCAGCGAAGACAGCUUUCUGAACGUUUGAUCUCAAAUCAGGUAGGACUACCCGCUGAACUUAAGCAUAUCAAUAAGCGGAGGAAAAGAAACUAACAAGGAUUCCCCUAGUAACUGCGAGUGAAGCGGGAAGAGCUCAAAUUUAAAAUCUGGCGUGCCUCUGGUCGUCCGAGUUGUAGUCUGGAGAAGCGUUUUCCGUGUUGGACCGUGUACAAGUCCCUUGGAACAGGGCGUCAUAGAGGGUGAGA